AGAUUGAACGCUGGCGGCAUGCCUUACACAUGCAAGUCGAACGGCAGCACGGGAGCAAUCCUGGUGGCGAGUGGCGAACGGGUGAGUAAUACAUCGGAACGUGCCCAAUCGUGGGGGAUAACGCAGCGAAAGCUGUGCUAAUACCGCAUAAGAUCUACGGAUGAAAGCAGGGGAUCGCAAGACCUUGCGCGAAUGGAGCGGCCGAUGGCAGAUUAGGUAGUUGGUGAGGUAAAGGCUCACCAAGCCUUCGAUCUGUAGCUGGUCUGAGAGGACGAUCGACGCCACGAGGUUCGGACUAGGAACGACGACCGGACCCAAACUCCCGUAACGGGAGGCAGGCAAGGUGGGGAAUCGUGCGCAAGUGGACGAAAGCCUAGACGCAGCCAUGCCGCGUGAAGUGAUGAAGU
rnacentral:rRNA from 1 species